rnacentral:rRNA from 1 species
GUGGCGAACGGGUGAGUAACACGUGAGUAACCUGCCCUUGACUCUGGGAUAAGCCUGGGAAACUGGGUCUAAUACUGGAUACGACCUUCCCACGCAUGUGGUGUUGGUGGAAAGCUUUUGUGGUUUUGGAUGGACUCGCGGCCUAUCAGCUUGUUGGUGGGGUAAUGGCCUACCAAGGCGACGACGGGUAGCCGGCCUGAGAGGGUGGACGGCCACACUGGGACUGAGACACGGCCCAGACUCCUACGGGAGGCAGCAGUGGGGAAUAUUGCACAAUGGGCGCAAGCCUGAUGCAGCGACGCCGCGUGAGGGAUGAAGGCCUUCGGGUUGUAAACCUCUUUCAGUAGGGAAGAAGCGAAAGUGACGGUACCUGCAGAAGAAGCGCCGGCUAACUACGUGCCAGCAGCCGCGGUAAUACGUAGGGCGCAAGCGUUAUCCGGAAUUAUUGGGCGUAAAGAGCUCGUAGGCGGUUUGUCGCGUCUGCCGUGAAAGUCCGGGGCUUAACUCCGGAUCUGCGGUGGGUACGGGCAGACUUGAGUGAUGUAGGGGAGACUGGAAUUCCUGGUGUAGCGGUGAAAU